rnacentral:rRNA from 1 species
GGUGAACGCUGGCGGCGUGCUUAAGACAUGCAAGUCGAACGCAGUCUUCGGACUGAGUGGCGCACGGGUGAGUAACACGUAACUGACCUACCCCCAAGUCGCGAAUAACCAGCCGAAAGGAUGGCUAAUACGUGAUGUGAUGAUCCGCUGUGGCGGAUCAUUAAAGACUUGAUCGCUUGGGGAUGGGGUUGCGUUCCAUCAGCUAGUUGGUAAGGUAAAGGCUCACCAAGGCAACGACGGAUAGCCGGCCUGAGAGGGUGGCCGGCCACAGGGGCACUGAGACACGGGUCCCACUCCUACGGGAGGCAGCAGUUAGGAAUCUUCCACAAUGGGCGCAAGCCUGAUGGAGCGACGCCGCGUGAGGGAUGAAGGUUCUCGGAUCGUGAACCUCUGAACCAACGACGAAAGACCCGACAAGGGAGAUGACGGUAGUUGGGUAAUAGCACCGGCUAACUCCGUGCCAGCCGCCGCAGUAACAC